UGAUUGUGAAAGGUGUUUGGGGUC
rnacentral:piRNA from 1 species